rnacentral:rRNA from 1 species
GACGAACGCUGGCGGCGUGCUUAACACAUGCAAGUCGAACGGAAAGGCCCUGCUUGCCGGGUACUCGAGUGGCGAACGGGUGAGUAACACGUGGGUGAUCUGCCCUGCACUUCGGGAUAAGCCUGGUAAACUGGGUCUAAUACCGGAUAGGAGCCAUUUUUAGUGUGAUGGUUGGAAAGUUUUUUCGGUGUAGGAUGAGCUCGCGGCCUAUCAGCUUGUUGGUGGGGUAAUGGCCUACCAAGGCGGCGACGGGUAGCCGGCCUGAGAGGGUGGACGGCCACAUUGGGACUGAGAUACGGCCCAGACUCCUACGGGAGGCAGCAGUGGGGAAUAUUGCACAAUGGGCGCAAGCCUGAUGCAGCGACGCCGCGUGGGGGAUGACGGCCUUCGGGUUGUAAACUCCUUUCGCUAGGGACGAAGCUUUUUGUGACGGUACCUAGAUAAGAAGCACCGGCUAACUACGU